CAUCACAAACAGGAUUAUGUCACGUUGGAAGCUGCCAGCCUGGAAGUCUGAGGCAGCAUCUCGGAGCCCUGGGAAGCAGGGGACAGCUGUCCCUGUCCCCAGCAGUGACCCAGGGCACCCCCAGGGCUGAGAGGUGCUGCCAGCCUGCAGGUGAUGGGUGCAAAAGAGAGGGAAGCAAGAGCAGGUGGAAUGCUGGAAGAGCACAGCUCCAAGCAUGAUUGCACUGCCAGAAUCAAUUGGGAAGGUGCUUGAGCUCCUCAUGUGAGAUGUCUCCAGGUGGAGAAAUCCUGAGGUUCUGCAUGGAAAGGGGAGCAAAUGCAGGAACCCCCGUGGAUCAGCCCAGGAAAAGAGAGGGAUCAGUGCAGGAAAUGCCUACAGGACAGGCUGGAUUUCAGGGAAAAACCCACAUGAGCACACAGGACAAGUUUCAGGAGGGAAGAAAAAAGAAAAAUUGCUGCUAAUACCAGUGCAUAAAUAAUAACCAUGAUCCAGAUUUCAAGAGUGUCAGAAUAAACCAGGCCCAUCAGCCCUACA
ensembl:lncRNA